GGGGUAAUACCUACUGGAGGACCGAACCCACUUAUGUUGAAAAAUGAGGGGAUGACUUGUGGUUAGGGGUGAAAGGCCAAUCAAACUCGGAGAUAGCUGGUUCUCUGCGAAAUCUAUUUAGGUAGAGCGUCAUCCGAAUACCCCGGGGGGUAGAGCACUGGAUGGGUAAUGGGGCCCCACAGGCUUACUGAUCCUAACCAAACUCCGAAUACCCGGGAGUACUAGAUGGCAGACACACGGCGGAUGCUAACGUCCGUCGUGGAGAGGGAAACAACCCUGAC
rnacentral:rRNA from 1 species